rnacentral:rRNA from 1 species
GAUGAACGCUGGCGGCGUGCCUAAUACAUGCAAGUCGAGCGAACGGACGAGAAGCUUGCUUCUCUGAUGUUAGCGGCGGACGGGUGAGUAACACGUGGAUAACCUACCUAUAAGACUGGGAUAACUUCGGGAAACCGGAGCUAAUACCGGAUAAUAUUUUGAACCGCAUGGUUCAAAAGUGAAAGACGGUCUUGCUGUCACUUAUAGAUGGAUCCGCGCUGCAUUAGCUAGUUGGUAAGGUAACGGCUUACAAAGGCAACGAUGCAUAGCCGACGUGAGAGGGUGGUCGGCCACACUGGAACGGAAACACGGACCAGGCGCCUACGGGAGGCAGCAGUAGGGAAUCGUCCGCAAUGGGCGGAAGCCUGACGGAGCGACGCCGCGUGAGUGAUGAAGGUCUUCGGAUCGUAAAACUCUGUUAUGAGGGAAGAACAUAUGUGUAAGUAACUGUGCACAUCUUGACGGUACCUAAUCAGAAAGCCACGGCUAACUACGUG